rnacentral:tRNA from 1 species
GCUCCCGUAGCACAAUGGUAGUGCACCCGGUUUAUACCCGGCACAGUCAGCAGAUUACUGAACGAUGCAGGUUCGAAUCCUACCGGGAGUA